UAGGUAUUCCAGAGAGGCAUGUGCUGAGAAGAAGCUGUGGGUUGGGUGGAGCAAGAACAGACUCCAGCUGGUUGCCUGCCACGUGGCCCUGCUCUAAACCCUGUCUAGAAGGAAGGGUAACUCCCAUUUGUAGGCCUCGCCUCGAUGUAACAUGGAGCUCACUGCCUUAUUGACGCUACCACAGAAGGGGAACCAGACAACCAUGGGGACACUGCUGCCUGUGUGCAUAUACAGAUGUGGCCACUUGAAAAAACCUGAGAAGCAAGCUAGGCAGCAAAAUUUGAGUGAAAGACCAGCUUUUCAAGGACUCUGCGAUGAAGAUGAAUCACAGAAUUACGGAGUGUUUCCAUUGUGCUCCAUUUGUCCCACCCAUGGAAGUAGCAACUCACUGAUCUGUUUGGAAAAAGGAACUGGGCAUUCCUAAGAUGGCUUGUCUCCAGGAAGCCUGCGAUCCCUACAUUAUGCCAAGGACUGCUGUGGUUGUCUCCUUCCCUGGUUCUGACACAAGAGCUGAGAAAAAAGGGGUGUGUACAUGCGAUUGCCAUCUUCUCCAGGCAUCCUGUUCCAAUGGAUACAAGACUCAGGAUGCAGGGAUAAAAAUCAGGCGACUGCUUCCAAUCCCACAACAAAUGUCACCCAUCUCUUCCAACAAAAAACUUAACUCAAAAUGACACUUGCUUGUCAAAUCUGAAUUAGGCAUUUUCACUCUAACUGGAGUGAGUAUAUCAAUCCCCUGGGGGAAAACUGGAGCUCUGGAGAGGAUUCAGAUUCAGCAAACAGUUUUUGCUUGUCUGCUGUGUCUCAGGUAGGCACUGUAUUGUGUGUGUGUGUGUGUGUGUGUGUGUGUGUGUUUAAUUUCUAUUCCCACUUGCAUAGUACAGAUGAGGAAAGCAGGGACUUGCCCCCUCAACAGCCAGCUAGUGGAAAGGUCAGGUUUCUAACCUAGGUUUUACAGCCCCAGGUCCAGGUCCACUGUUCCUUGCAUUUAGACUAUAGAUGCCACUCCAGGCGCAAGCCCAGGCCACCUCUUCCCAGGAUAUUACAGACCACAUCGGGUUUUCUCCUCUCUGAACACCAGCAGUGUGGCCACAUGUUCACUUCACCUGCAGAAGCUGCCAGGCUCGAGAGUUGUGUCUUGUUCUUUCCACCCACUGAUAGGAUGCUGGGCGUGUAGGAAAGCAACCGUUUACUGGGAGCACUGAACAGUCUCAAAGCCUUCUCAUACAUACUGUCCCCAUAGCUCUGUAACACGAGAUAGAUGAGCUUUUUUUGCCCUGGUGGGGGAGAGGAGAGUAGUGGGAGGGAGGGAGGAAGCCGAAGGAAAUUAAUGAGUGACUUAGGAUUCAUCCCUAAAGGACCAAAGCAUGGAGGAGCCUGAUUUAUGAGAGUUAGACAAGGUUGAUGGUUGGCUGGGAAAAUUGAGAGAUUAACUUUAUGUCUUGAGUACCUACUGGAUGCCAGACAGUCCAUUAGUAGGUUGUUAUGAACAUUAUCUCACUUAAUGCAAUCCUGUAAUCUCUGCAAUUAUAUUUUUAAUGGACUUCAGUGCACAAAACUGAACUAAUCUUUUUAAUACUUUAUUCAUACUAUUCUAUUGGUCCAUGCUUGGGUCUUAAUUAUUUUUCUCAGUCAUUUAUUUUAGUGAUGCGAUGAGUACCUUGGAACCUACAUCUAACCCAAGAACUAGAACACUAAUGGUAAUUCACCUCUAUUCAGGUGCUCCUUCCCUACGCUGUUGCAAAUGAAAAUAAUGUACCAGCCCUCUCCUGUAGUUAAUUUUCAUAAGAGGAUAUUAAGAAUUCCUGGCUUAGACUGUCCUGUCCAUAAACCCUCAGCAAAAUAAAUAAGUUUAUCUGCUUGAUUAAGAAAACUCCUUCCCUA
rnacentral:lncRNA from 1 species